UACGAGGGGUGCGAGCGUUGUCCGGAAUCACUGGGCGUAAAGGGCGCGUAGGUGGUUUGAUAAGGGUGUGGUGAAAGUCCGGGGCUCAACCCCGGAUCUGCCGUGCCGACUGUCAAACUCGAGGGCUGUAGAGGCAGACGGAAUUCCGGGUGUAGCGGUGGAAUGCGUAGAGAUCCGGAGGAAGACCGGUGGCGAAGGCGGUCUGCUGGGCAGUUUCUGACACUGAGGCGCGACAGCGUGGGGAGCAAACAGG
rnacentral:rRNA from 1 species